GCGAAAGGUGCUUGCACCUUUCAAGUGAGUGGCGAACGGGUGAGUAACACGUGGACAACCUGCCUCAAGGCUGGGGAUAACAUUUGGAAACAGAUGCUAAUACCGAAUAAAACUUAGUGUCGCAUGACAAAAAGUUAAAAGGCGCUUCGGCGUCACCUAGAGAUGGAUCCGCGGUGCAUUAGUUAGUUGGUGGGGUAAAGGCCUACCAAGACAAUGAUGCAUAGCCGAGUUGAGAGACUGAUCGGCCACAUUGGGACUGAGACACGGCCCAAACUCCUACGGGAGGCUGCAGUAGGGAAUCUUCCACAAUGGGCGAAAGCCUGAUGGAGCAACGCCGCGUGUGUGAUGAAGGCUUUCGGGUCGUAAAGCACUGUUGUAUGGGAAGAACAGCUAGAAUAGGAAAUGAUUUUAGUUUGACGGUACCAUACCAGAAAGGGACGGCUAAAUACGUGCCAGCAGCCGCGGUAAUACGUAUGUCCCGAGCGUUAUCCGGAUUUAUUGGGCGUAAAGCGAGCGCAGACGGUUUAUUAAGUCUGAUGUGAAAGCCCGGAGCUCAACUCCGGAAUGGCAUUGGAAACUGGUUAACUUGAGUGCAGUAGAGGUAAGUGGAACUCCAUGUGUAGCGGUGGAAUGCGUAGAUAUAUGGAAGAACACCAGUGGCGAAGGCGGCUUACUGGACUGCAACUGACGUUGAGGCUCGAAAGUGUGGGUAGCAAACAGGAUUAGAUACCCUGGUAGUCCACACCGUAAACGAUGAACACUA
rnacentral:rRNA from 1 species